rnacentral:rRNA from 1 species
UACGUAGGGUGCAAGCGUUGUCCGGAAUUAUUGGGCGUAAAGAGCUCGUAGGCGGUUUGUCGCGUCUGCCGUGAAAGUCCGGGGCUCAACUCCGGAUCUGCGGUGGGUACGGGCAGACUAGAGUGAUGUAGGGGAGACUGGAAUUCCUGGUGUAGCGGUGAAAUGCGCAGAUAUCAGGAGGAACACCGAUGGCGAAGGCAGGUCUCUGGGCAUUAACUGACGCUGAGGUGCGAAAGCGUGGGGAGCAAACAGG